AAACGGUGACGUAUCAAUUCUCAGCCUAAAACCCCACAACCAACACGAUACACACAACACAUAUUCGGUGUUCCUUGUCUAAAACCCUAAACUUCCAAAAUUUAGAGCUUUCACUUUGCACAACCUGCUUCCAUGGCGGAACCAAAUUCAACCUUCAAACCCAUCAAACCGAAGCUCAAACCCAAACCCAGAACCCCAAACCAAACCCCAGAAUCAAAGUACUGGUCCUCCUUCAAAACCCACCAAAUCCCAGACCUCAUCUCCUCCAUCACUUCCCUCACUUUCUCUCCUUCGCCUCCUCACCCCUUCGCCGCUACUCACUCCACUUCACUCAAAAUCUUCAAUCCCCAAACCCUCUCUCCUUCCUCCACCAUCUCCUCCUUCUCCGACGUCGUUUCCUCCGCCUCGUUCCGCUGUGACGGCCUCUUGAUCGCCGCGUCUGACCUCUCGGGUCUAAUCCAAGUGUUCGAUGUCAAAACGCGGACCCCACUUCGUAAACUCAGGUCCCACACACGCCCAGUACGUUUUCUCAAAUACCCACUUCAUGAUAAGCUCCAUUUGGUCUCUGGUGGCGAUGAUGCUGUUGUUAAGUACUGGGAUGUUGCUUCUGAGACUCCACUUUUAGAGCUUUUGGGUCAUAAGGACUAUGUGCGUUGUGGUGAUUUUUCACCUGUUAGUCAUGAAAUGUGUGUCACUGGGUCUUAUGAUCAUACGGUUAAGCUUUGGGAUGUGAGAGUGACUGGUUCGAAAACAGUUAUGGAGGUUAACCAUGGAAAACCAGUUGAAAGUGUCGUUUUUUUGCCAUCCGGGGGGUUAGUUGCUACUGCAGGUGGGAAUUCGGUUAAGAUCUGGGAUUUUAUUGGAGGUGGGAAGAUGGUUUAUUCGAUGGAGAGUCAUACCAAGACGGUUACUUCAGUUUGUGUAGGGAGAGUUGGGAAGGAGAAUGUUGAGGAAGGGAGGGAGCAUAGGGUUUUGAGUGUGGGAUUGGAUGGGUAUAUGAAGGUGUUCGAUUAUGGGAGGAUGAAGGUCACACAUUCUAUGAGGUUCCCUGCACCACUUAUGUCAAUUGGGUUUUCACCAGAUUGUGGGGUGAGAGUGAUUGGGAGUUCGAAUGGGGUAAUGUAUGUUGGGAAGAGAAAAACGAAGGAGGAGAAUGUGGAGAGUGGUUUGAGAAGCUUUUGGAGUUUAGGUGUGGAGCAGGAGAGAAGGGUUAUGAGGCCUUCAUAUUUUCGGUAUUUUCAUAGAGGGCAGGGUGAUAAGCCUAAGGAGGGGGAUUAUUUGGUUAUGAGGCCAAAGAAGGUAAAGUUGGCAGAGCAUGAUAAGUUGUUGAAGAAGUUUAGGCACAAGGAGGCACUGGUGUCAGUGUUGGGCAAUAAGAAUCCGGAGAAUGUGGUGGCGGUGAUGGAGGAAUUGGUGGCAAGGAGGAAAUUGUUGAAGUGUGUUGAGAAUCUGGAUAAUGAGGAGCUUGGCUUGCUGUUGAUGUUCUUACAAAAGUAUUCUACAGUGCCAAGAUUCUCAGGUUUGUUGAUGGGAUUGACGAAGAAGGUUCUUGAAAUGCGGGUUGAAGAUAUCAGAGGUUCUGAGGCCUUGAAGGGUCAAAUUAGAAACCUUAAGCGGUCUGUUGAGGAGGAGAUACGGAUACAACAUUCUUUGCAAGAGCUACAGGGUAUCAUUUCUCCUUUAUUGAGGAUUGCUGGAAGGGGAUGAACCUUUAUUGCCUUUUUGGUUUUUUAUGAGCUCGAAGGAGAGACCCACUCUUGGGAUAAAAUAUUAGCCUUUGCUGCCCAAAAGUUCAAUAUAUCUUGCCAGAAAAUGUUUUGAAGCAUUCCAUGAUUUAUAUUGUUUUUGUGAGUUAAAAGAUAGAAAACUUGUACUGAUAUGUUGAAAGAAUUUGUAAGACAAUCAGACGAAACAGAGAAACACAACUCAAGAAAGAGCAUAGCAGCUAAGAAACAUUACAUAACAGUGUUGCAGAAAGAAAAGCUUGACAUAAAAACUGCUAAGAAUAUGAAGUGUUGUACUCUGCCAGGAAAAUAGUAGCUCUAUCAAAGAUGGUCUUCGGUUGAAACUGAAUUUUUUCAAAGUAGAACUUGUUACAAGCAUUCCAUGAUGUAUUGAAGCAAUAUCUUGUUGUCAAUAGGCUAAUUUUCAAUAUCAUUGAAACAUUGAAUGUAUUUUCUAAUUUUGACUCUUAAGGUAGUUUCAUUGUUCAUUUACAAAAACUUUUACAAGGAUUUAGAGUACAAACCAAGAAGAAUGUAAUAAAAUUUAGUUUUUAUUUUAUUUUAUUUUUUAUAUU